AUUGAACGCUGGCGGCAGGCCUAACACAUGCAAGUCGAACGGUAACAGGAAGAAGCUUGCUUCUUUGCUGACGAGUGGCGGACGGGUGAGUAAUGUCUGGGAAACUGCCUGAUGGAGGGGGAUAACUCCUGGAAACGGUAGCUAAUACCGCAUAACGUCGCAAGACCAAAGAGGGGGACCUUCGGGCCUCUUGCCAUCGGAUGUGCCCAGAUGGGAUUAGCUCGUUGGUGGGGUAACGGCUCACCAAGGCGACGAUCCCUAGCUGGUCUGAGAGGAUGACCAGCCACACUGGAACUGAGACACGGUCCAGACUCCUACGGGAGGCAGCAGUGGGGAAUAUUGCACAAUGGGCGCAAGCCUGAUGCAGCCAUGCCGCGUGUAUGAAGAAGGCCUUCGGGUUGUAAAGUACUUUCAGCGGGGAGGAAGGGAGUAAAGUUAAUACCUUGGCUCAUUGACGUUACCCGCAGAAGAAGCACCGGCUAACUCCGUG
rnacentral:rRNA from 1 species